rnacentral:rRNA from 1 species
UACGUAGGUGGCAAGCGUUGUCCGGAAUUAUUGGGCGUAAAGCGCGCGCAGGCGGUCCUUUAAGUCUGAUGUGAAAGCCCACGGCUCAACCGUGGAGGGUCAUUGGAAACUGGGGGACUUGAGUGCAGGAGAGAAAAGUGGAAUUCCACGUGUAGCGGUGAAAUGCGUAGAGAUGUGGAGGAACACCAGUGGCGAAGGCGACUUUUUGGCCUGUAACUGACACUGAGGCGCGAAAGCGUCGGGAGCAAACAGG